AGCUUGCUUUGCUGUGACGAGUGGCGGACGGGUGAGUAAUGUCUGGAAAACUGGCCGAUGGAGGGGGAUAACUACUGAAAACGGUUGCUAAUACCGGCUAAUGUCGCAUAACCAUAUAGGGGGACCUUCAGACCUCUUGCCGUCGCUUUUGCCUCAAUGGGAUUAGCUCGUACGUGGGGUAACGGCUCACCUAAGCUACCAUCCCUACCUGGUCUGAAAGGAUGACCAACCACACUGGAACUGAGACACGGUCCAGACUCCUACAGGAGGCAGCAUUGGGGAAUAUUGCACAAUGGGCGCAAGCCUGAUGCGGCCAUGCCGCGUGUAUGAAAAAGGCCUUCGAGUUGUAAAGUACUUUCAGAUCAGGAAAAAGGUGUUGUGGUUAAUAACCACGAUGAUUGACGUUACUCCCACAAUAAGCACCGGCUAACUCCAUGCCCACGGCCGCGUUAAUACCGAGGGUGCAAGCGUUAAUCAGAAUUACUGGGCGUAAAGCGCACGCUGGCGGUCUGUCAAGUCCGAUGUGAAAUCCCCGGGCUCAACCUGGGAACUGCAUUCAAAACUGGAGGGCUAUAGUCUUGUGGAGGGGGGUAGAAUUCCAGGUGAAACGGUGAUAUGCUUAGAAAUCUGGAGGAAUACCGAUGGAGAAGGCAGCCCCCUGGACAAAGACUGAUCUUUAGGUGCUAAAUCGUGCGGAGCAUCCAGGAUUAGAUACCGCUGAUAGUCCACGCCGCACACGAUGUCGACUUCGGAGGAUCGAGCACUUGGAAGCGUGUCUACGGGAUCUAACGCUUUAAGUUCGACCGACUGCGUAGUACGCUCGCCAAGGUUAGAACUACAAAAUGCAUUGA
rnacentral:rRNA from 1 species